CAGCCGCCACGGUAAUACAGAGGAUGCAAGCGUUAUCCGGAAUGAUUGGGCGUAAAGCGUCUGUAGGUGGCUUUUCAAGUCCGCCGUCAAAUCCCAGGGCUCAACCCUGGACAGGCGGUGGAAACUACCAAGCUGGAGUACGGUAGGGGCAGAGGGAAUUUCCAGUGGAGCGGUGAAAUGCGUUGAGACCGAAAAGAACACCAACAGCGAAAGCACUCUGCUGGGACGACACUGACACUAAGAGACGAAAGCUAGGGGAGCAAAUGGGAUUAGAUACCCCUGUAGUCCCUGUCUCUUAUAC
rnacentral:rRNA from 1 species